GCGCCCAUAGCUCAGCUGGAUAGAGCAUCUGCCUUCUAAGCAGAGGGUCGCAGGUUCGAAUCCUGCUGGGCGUACCA
rnacentral:tRNA from 1 species